AUGAUGAUGUCACUGACUCUACUGCUGACCACCCUGGGGCUCCUUGUUCACGGUUCAUCAGGAGAAAUCAGUGUGGCUCAGACUCCAGGAGCUCAGUCUGUUGCUGCAGGACAAACUGUUUCUAUCAGAUGUAAAACCGACACACUGAUAGGUGAUGACAUGAACUGGUAUCUUCAGAUAUCUGGAGAAGCUCCUAAACUCCUGAUUGCUGAUACAACACUUCGUCAGUCUGGAGUUCCAAAUCAUUUUUGAGCAAGUUACUCGGGAACUGACUUCACUCUGACCAUCAGUGGAGUUCAGCCUGCAGAUGCAGGAGUUUAUUACUGUCAGCAGGAUUACAACUUACCGUUCACACAGUGA